rnacentral:rRNA from 1 species
UCGAUUCGAUAUUUCCGUCGCCGACCCUCAACCGAGGGUGUCGGACGUCGCGACCCGUUCGCCAGAUCGAUGCUCAGGGGCGCGUCUCAAGUUCGUAUGCGCGGCCGUUUCGGCGGUCGCGCGGCGAUGACGCGUUUCCACUGUUUUCGACGCGGACGGUAGCUUUGCGCGCGGGUAAUCGAGGCGGUCCUUCGUCCGGCGUCUCGUACGUCGGACGGCGCUCGCCUCGACGCCGGUCAGCGACGAAUCUUCGGGCCUCUUUCCGACCCGUCUUGAAACACGGACCAAGGAGUCUAGCGUGCGCGCGAGUCGCGGGGUAUCCGAGGAGUAGUAGUCGUUUCGGCGGCGAACGCUCCUCGUCACGAUACGAAACCCGUGUACGUACGUUGUGCGAAGGCGUAAUGAAAGUGAAAGGCGGCGCUUCGCGCGUCGCCGGGGGAAGACGGUCGACCGUGUACACGUUUCGCGACCGCGUAUGUGUCGCGACCGGUCACCCGCAUUCCCAGGGCGUCCCGCUCGUACGUCGGCGGCCGGGGUUCGCUUCGACCGUCGACGAACUGGGGCGCACCUACAGCGUGCACGCUGGUACCCGAAAGA